GGUGCUCAGGAGCGACUGGAUGUCGAGGAGCAGGGAAGAAAGCCAGGAUGGCGGGCGUUUGGAUACGCAUAAAAAGGAAAAGGACAUAACCAGGACGUGUUACUGCUAAGGGAUAGACAGGGGUGUCGAUAGCGUACAUGGAUUGUCUGACUCGUUUGAGUAAUGAGUCUAAUAAAGGCGACAGUUAAUCUGUCGCCUUUUUUCUUUAUGCG
rnacentral:sRNA from 1 species